AAACAUAUAUAUUUAGCACUUGGACAUUGUUGUUGUGCAUAUAUAAUAUGAGCUUUAACAUUAUUCUAAAAAUAAACAGGUUAGAACAAACUUUUAACCAAAAUUCGGCUCAAUAUUUAAUAUUUAGACAUAAAUUCAUAAAUCUAUCUAACUAAAAACAAAUCUGUAUUUCAUUAAAUGAAUGAAUUGUUAUUAUUGAGUCAAAGAUUUAUUGUGGAGGGAUGAGUCUCAGGUUACAAACCUUCUGUGCUAAUCAGAAAUAUGAAAUCAUUAAUGCAAAGUUAAGAUGACAAAAUGUGCCUUUUUUCUUUGUUAAAGUAAAAGUUAAUUGUAUUUUUUUAAUGCUACAAAUCUAAUGCCACAUGUUUACUUUUGUGGAGGUAAUAUAAAACAAUCAAAGCUAGUUAUUAAAUCGAUUUUAGAUGUUUUUAUUGUUAUUAAAGACAUCUUUUGCCCCUACACCACAGGAUGUCUGGGUUUGACAAAUCCAAACAAAGGUAGGAAUCUGUUGCAUUAAGUGUGAUUUGUCUGGGACUUGAUAACACAUGAGUGGAGAUGAUGUUUAAGCUGAAGUAUCACAGCUAAUGAGCAACAAUACAGGGAUACAGAGGAUUACACCCUCAUGAGACUGACUGAUUACAGCCAGCAAAGGGAGCGGUUUAAUGGGCCGUGAGCAUGUCCUUCCCCCAGACGAAGCCUAACACCUAAGUGAGCACAAACACUAAUGCAAUUUUCGCUGCUGCAACAUGCAGGUCUGGAGGGUAAUUUCUAGUUACUUUGUGUCUAUUUAACUCAUUUCUCUGCAGGUGAAAACCUGCGUCCACAAGCAGCCUAAAGGUGGCUGGAGAGUAUGAAGAUGUUUUGAAUUGAGGUCAGACAGGAAAAAAAAAAAAGUCGUUUUCCAUCCUGGUAAGAGACUGCGUCUCAACAACUGCACUCCACCACAUCCAGAACAAAUUGGCCAAUCUUAAUGUCAGCAAAAUGUCACUUCAUCAUAAAAGCCCGGCCUUCUCCAAGCAGCUGCCUCCCAAAGCUCUUUCUUCACAGCAUGGCACCAUACAUCCCAACAGCAGGCUUACAGUAGCUGACAUCCAUAAUAUCCCCAGGUGGAGGGUUUCAAAUAUAUUUGAUAAUUGUGACUUGUGGCCCUGUGCAGCGUGCAGCGAUUACUGGAUGUGCGUCAUGCAUGCAGCUCACAGAGCAGCGAGUGUGACAAAGUACUAGCUAAUGAAAGUGCAUCAUAAUUAACAACAGGACUUAACAAGCGGUUGUGUUUCCCCAUCGACAUGAACUGGGACGGUGGAUGCAGCUGCUGCAGCCGCAGACUUUCACCCCCAGCCGUCCCAGGCGCUGAUUUUGUGUCCAGCUGACACGCUUUGACCUGAAGGAGCUCUGCUGGCCCCGCCUGUCGGCCCGCGUGUCAGAGAGCAGCAAACAUGUCCUCAACCCCCAUUUACCACCUCAUUAUGGGAUGUUAUGAUCCAACGUGAAGCGGUGCUCUGUUUGAUCCCUCGCAACGAUACGACAACUUUGAUUUUUUUUUUUUCCUGCAUGGACUGGGGAGUGAGGAGACAGACUAGAGGAGACCAAGGACAGAGAACAGGAAAAGAGGAGCGCAGCUGAGAGAACCGGGAGACGCGACAGGCCGCUGCGGAUCCACUCCACGGUUCGUCUCGGAGGUGAAGGUGGACCAAAGUGAAGAGGGAAUAACUCACCGGGCUGUUGGACUGCUCGAUGAGCUUGCGCUCCCACAUCUUCAGGCGCCUCUCUCGCUGCUUCAGCUCCUGCUCUUUACUGCUCAGAUGGCUGCCUGGACAGGAUUCCAGCAGCACGACUUCUGAGGAAAUAAGCCCUGGUGGCGCAGACAAGGCCCGCAGACAAGCAUACGGAGAAUAAAGUGACAGCUGAGACUCAGGCUGUGCCGAACAUCAUCAAACCUCCAGCUGCUCAAACAGGCCAAUUAAACACUUCUACUUGAAAAAGAUGGUGAUUAUUUUUAGGAUCUUAUGGGUAAAGGGAGGAAGUAUAUCCAGAUGGAUCAUUCUUUGGGGGUUGUCGUGUCUUUAUGAAGCUAUCAGUGUAAUUAUUAAGGAUCUAUAUGCACAAUCUCAAGUUCUUUUCUGUGCUUCGUGGGCCCCAUCAGCCACAUUUCCACAUCAUUCUUUCAAAACCGUUGCACAUUUGCUAAGGCUGAGGCAGUACAGUGGUGAGAAAAUGAGGAUAUAAAUACAGUUGCUGGCUGCAGCAGAGAGCAGCGGAUCCCGUUACCUCCA